rnacentral:lncRNA from 10 species
CCUCCUGCCAAACAUAUUAAGGGAUACAGGGCUAUGAAUAUGGAGAUGGAUGGAUGGACAGACAGAUGAUUAAAUGGACAGAUGGAUGGAUGGAUAAAUGGAUGGAUGGACAGACAAAUGGAAGAUAGAUGGGCAGAUGGAUGGAUGAAUGAAUGGAUAGACAAGUGCACAUAUGGAUAGAUGAACAGAGGAUGCAUGGAUAAAUGGAUGGAUGAACGGAUGGAUGGAUGGAUGGACAAAUGGAUGGAUGGAUAGACGGAUGGCUGGAUGGACAAAUGGAUGGAUGGAUGGAUGAAUGGAUAAUUAGUUACUCCUAAACGAACAGAAGCAACUCCUUAAAUAGCUCCCUAUAUUGCAACUGCAAAUUUUCAUGGAGUAGGAAACAGACACAAAAUUAUAAUCACGAGACAUUUCUG